rnacentral:rRNA from 1 species
GGGUUGUGAGGUUAAGCGACUAAGCGUACACGGUGGAUGCCCUGGCAGUCAGAGGCGAUGAAGGACGUGCUAAUCUGCGAAAAGCGCCGGCGAGGUGAUAUGAACCUUUGACCCGGCGAUGUCCGAAUGGGGAAACCCAGUGUGAUUCGUCACACUAUCGUUAACUGAAUACAUAGGUUAACGAGGCGAACCGGGGGAACUGAAACAUCUAAGUACCCCGAGGAAAAGAAAUCAACCGAGAUUCCCCCAGUAGCGGCGAGCGAACGGGGAGCAGCCCAGAGUCUGAAUCAGCUUGUGUGUUAGUGGAACGGUCUGGAAAGUCCGGCGAUACAGGGUGAUAGCCCCGUACACGAAAGCACACAGGUUGUGAACUCGAAGAGUAGGGCGGGACACGUGGUAUCCUGUCUGAAUAUGGGGGGACCAUCCUCCAAGGCUAAAUACUCCUGACUGACCGAUAGUGAACCAGUACCGUGAGGGAAAGGCGAAAAGAACCCCGGCGAGGGGAGUGAAAAAGAACCUGAAACCGUGUACGUACAAGCAGUGGGAGCACCUUCGUGGUGUGACUGCGUACCUUUUGUAUAAUGGGUCAGCGACUUAUAUUCUGUAGCAAGGUUAACCGUAUAGGGGAGCCGAAGGGAAACCGAGUCUUAACUGGGCGUUAAGUUGCAGGGUAUAGACCCGAAACCCGGUGAUCUAGCCAUGGGCAGGUUGAAGGUUGGGUAACACUAACUGGAGGACCGAACCGACUAAUGUUGAAAAAUUAGCGGAUGACUUGUGGCUGGGGGUGAAAGGCCAAUCAAACCGGGAGAUAGCUGGUUCUCCCCGAAAGCUAUUUAGGUAGCGCCUCGUGAACUCAUCUUCGGGGGUAGAGCACUGUUUCGGCUAGGGGGCCAUCCCGGCUUACCAACCCGAUGCAAACUACGAAUACCGAAGAAUGUUAUCACGGGAGACACACGGCGGGUGCUAACGUCCGUCGUGAAGAGGGAAACAACCCAGACCGCCAGCUAAGGUCCCAAAGUCAUGGUUAAGUGGGAAACGAUGUGGGAAGGCACAGACAGCCAGGAUGUUGGCUUAGAAGCAGCCAUCAUUUAAAGAAAGCGUAAUAGCUCACUGGUCGAGUCGGCCUGCGCGGAAGAUGUAACGGGGCUAAACCAUGCACCGAAGCUGCGGCAGCGACGCUUAGGCGUUGUUGGGUAGGGGAGCGUUCUGUAAGCCGUUGAAGGUGUGCUGUGAGGCAUGCUGGAGGUAUCAGAAGUGCGAAUGCUGACAUAAGUAACGAUAAUGCGGGUGAAAAGCCCGCACGCCGGAAGACCAAGGGUUCCUGUCCAACGUUAAUCGGGGCAGGGUGAGUCGACCCCUAAGGCGAGGCCGAAAGGCGUAGUCGAUGGGAAACAGGUUAAUAUUCCUGUACUUGGUGUUACUGCGAAGGGGGGACGGAGAAGGCUAUGUUAGCCGGGCGACGGUUGUCCCGGUUUAAGCAUGUAGGCGGAACGAUUAGGUAAAUCCGGUCGUUUAUUAACGCUGAGGUGUGAUGACGAGGCACUACGGUGCUGAAGUAACAAAUGCCCUGCUUCCAGGAAAAGCCUCUAAGCAUCAGGUAACAUCAAAUCGUACCCCAAACCGACACAGGUGGUCAGGUAGAGAAUACCAAGGCGCUUGAGAGAACUCGGGUGAAGGAACUAGGCAAAAUGGUGCCGUAACUUCGGGAGAAGGCACGCUGAUAUGUAGGUGAAGCCCCUGCGGGUGGAGCUGAAAUCAGUCGAAGAUACCAGCUGGCUGCAACUGUUUAUUAAAAACACAGCACUGUGCAAACACGAAAGUGGACGUAUACGGUGUGACGCCUGCCCGGUGCCGGAAGGUUAAUUGAUGGGGUUAGCGGCAACGCGAAGCUCUUGAUCGAAGCCCCGGUAAACGGCGGCCGUAACUAUAACGGUCCUAAGGUAGCGAAAUUCCUUGUCGGGUAAGUUCCGACCUGCACGAAUGGCGUAAUGAUGGCCAGGCUGUCUCCACCCGAGACUCAGUGAAAUUGAACUCGCUGUGAAGAUGCAGUGUACCCGCGGCAAGACGGAAAGACCCCGUGAACCUUUACUAUAGCUUGACACUGAACACUGGUCCUUGAUGUGUAGGAUAGGUGGGAGGCUUUGAAGCGUGGACGCCAGUCUGCGUGGAGCCGACCUUGAAAUACCACCCUUUAAUGGCUGGUGUUCUAACGUAGACCCGUAAUCCGGGUUGCGGACAGUGUCUGGUGGGUAGUUUGACUGGGGCGGUCUCCUCCCAAAGAGUAACGGAGGAGCACGAAGGUUAGCUAAUCCUGGUCGGACAUCAGGAGGUUAGUGCAAUGGCAUAAGCUAGCUUGACUGCGAGAGUGACGGCUCGAGCAGGUGCGAAAGCAGGUCAUAGUGAUCCGGUGGUUCUGAAUGGAAGGGCCAUCGCUCAACGGAUAAAAGGUACUCCGGGGAUAACAGGCUGAUACCGCCCAAGAGUUCAUAUCGACGGCGGUGUUUGGCACCUCGAUGUCGGCUCAUCACAUCCUGGGGCUGAAGUAGGUCCCAAGGGUAUGGCUGUUCGCCAUUUAAAGUGGUACGCGAGCUGGGUUUAGAACGUCGUGAGACAGUUCGGUCCCUAUCUGCCGUGGGCGCUGGAGAAUUGAGGGGGGCUGCUCCUAGUACGAGAGGACCGGAGUGGACGCAUCACUGGUGUUCGGGUUGUCAUGCCAAUGGCACUGCCCGGUAGCUAAAUGCGGAAAAGAUAAGUGCUGAAAGCAUCUAAGCACGAAACUUGCCCCGAGAUGAGUUCUCCCUGACCCUUUAAGGGUCCUGAAGGAACGUUGAAGACUACGACGUUGAUAGGUCGGGUGUGUAAGCGCAGCGAUGCGUUGAGCUAACCGAUACUAAUGAACCGUGAGGCUUAACCUUACAACGCCGAAGCUGUU